rnacentral:rRNA from 1 species
UACAGAGGGUGCGAGCGUUAAUCGGAGUUACUGGGCGUAAAGGGCGCGUAGGCGGUUAUAUAAGUGAGAUGUGAAAUCCCUGGGCUUAACCUAGGACUGCAUCUCAUACUGUAUGACUGGAGUAUUGUAGAGGGUAGUGGAAUUUCCGGUGUAGCGGUGAAAUGCGUAGAGAUCGGAAGGAACACCAGUGGCGAAGGCGGACUACCUGGACAAAUACUGACGCUGAGGCGCGAGAGCGUGGGGAGCAAACGAGGA